rnacentral:rRNA from 1 species
AGUCGACGAAGUAGCAAUACUUAGUGGCAGACGGGUGAGUAACAUGUAGGUAUCUGCCCUUUGGCCUGGAAUAACACGAGGAAACUUGUGCUAAUACCGGAUAAGUCUUUACGGAGAAAGCUUUAUGCACCAUUGGAUGAGCCUGCACUUGAUUAGUUUGUUGGUGGGGUGACGGCCUACCAAGACUGUGAUCAAUAGCUGAUUUGAGAGGAUGAUCAGCCACAUUGGGACUGAGACACGGCCCAAACUCCUACGGGAGGCAGCAGUGGGGAAUCUUGCACAAUGGAGGAAACUCUGAUGCAGCGAUGCCGCGUGAGUGAAGAAGGCCCUUGGGUUGUAAAGCUCUUUCGUCGGGGAAGAAAAUGACUGUACCCGAAUAAGAAGGUCCGGCUAACUUCGUGCCAGCAGCCGCGGUAAUACGAAGGGACCUAGCGUAGUUCGGAAUUACUGGGCUUAAAGAGUUCGUAGGUGGUUGAAAAAGUUAGUGGUGAAAUCCCAGAGCUUAACUCUGGAACUGCCAUUAAAACUUUUCAGCUAGAGUAUGAUAGAGGAAAGCAGAAUUUCUAGUGUAGAGGUGAAAUUCGUAGAUAUUAGAAAGAAUACCAAUUGCGAAGGCAGCUUUCUGGAUCAUUACUGACACUGAGGAACGAAAGCAUGGGUAGCGAAGAGGAUUAGAUACCCUCGUAGUCCAUGCCGUAAACGAUGUGUGUUAGACGUUGGAAAUUUAUUUUCAGUGUCGCAGCGAAAGCGAUAAACACACCGCCUGGGGGAGUACGACCGCAAGGUUAAAACUCAAAUGAAUUGACGGGGACCCGCACAAGUAGUGGAGCAUGUG